UUCACAGUUAAAAACAGGAACAUGGGGACAGCUCGGAACCAGACCUCCCCGGCUUCUGGGCUCAUUGGUCCUCAUGGCCUGUCCCCAGAAAACAGGGACACCUGGUCAAUUUACUUCACUCUGCCAGAUUCCAUCCUGGAGGAUACAGUUACUUGUCAAAGUGGAGUUUGUGGAGAUCAAUCCAGCCAAUCCAUUGACCGUUAGAAGCCUGUAAAGACACUUCCCAUAACAGAAGGAAUAUAAAGAAGGAAUAUUUCACUACUUUACUCUGAGGGCGGCCCGGAGCGGCUAAUCGGGAGAUUCUGGACGAUUCCCGAUGGGCCGGCUCAUGUCAGUCUCGAGUGUGGGCGGCUGGAUGGGGGGAUGAUUUUGACAUUUAUCCGUCACUUAUCUGAUCUUUUUACAUUCAUUCUCCGUUCAACUAUCUAUUCAUUCUCCAUUCAUCUGACAGCGCAGCCCCUACAUCGCAGGAGGUCAGAUGGGUUCUACCAUCUGAGGGAAUCCCCCCCCAUGUUUAAGUUGGUUGGGUCCGCGAGUCUCUUUUCUGGAGCGGUAAAUUAAAUGUAGCAGCAGAGCAGCGCGAAGCGGCAGUCGGUGGUGAUGGAGGCAGGAAGACGCCAGGUGGAGCCGAAAAGGCCAGGUUAAAAUAAAGAAAGGCGCUGGAAGAAGAAGAAGCUGCCAGAUGUGCUGAAUGAACAGAGCUGUUCUCCAGAGGACAGACCCCAGCUGCAGCCGGGGAAGAGAGAGGUGGGAGUGACGCUGUACUGUCAGGGUGAGGCUGCUGCGCAACGUUUGCAGCGUCAGCUUAGCGUAGUUUAUUCUGUAGAGCCCAACACACACCACUAAUCUCAAAUAUCCAGUUUCAAGCUGAGAAUAAAUAAACAGGAGUGAAGACAAGGUACAACCUCUACCAACCAUGGGUGGCGCCAAAGCAGGGGCUGGGGGGGGGGGGCACUGGACCCCCCUGAAAUCUGACUGGACCCCCCAGGUGCCACCCCAGAUGACUGACAUGUCACAGCCCCGCACGUCUUGUAGAAAAGCGCCUGGUGCAGUUUGUAAGCGGU